GUAGGGUGCGAGCGUUAAUCGGGAAUUACUGGGGCGUAAAGCGUGCGCAGGCGGCUUUGCAAGACAGAUGUGAAAUCCCCGGGGCUCAACCUGGGGAACUGCAUUUGUGACUGCAAGGCUAGAGUACGGCAGAGGGGGAUGGAAUUCCGCGUGUAGCAGUGAAAUGCGUAGAUAUGCGGAGGAACACCGAUGGCGAAGGCAAUCCCCUGGGCCUGUACUGACGCUCAUGCACGAAAGCGUGGGGAGCAAACAGGAUUAGAUACCCUGGUAGUCCACGCCCUAAACGAUGUCAACUGGUUGUUGGACGGCUUGCUGUUCAGUAACGAAGCUAACGCGUGAAGUUGACCGCCUGGGGAGUACGGCCGCAAGGUUG
rnacentral:rRNA from 1 species